UUGCUGAGCUAAGAAAAGACCUGAGAAAUUUUGAUGGUUUUGCCUUUUGGGGCUUGGAAGAUGAUAGGAAAUUCAGCAGAGCGGCAGUACAGUAGUUGGGGAGGAAUUCAAACGACGCCGUUUUAAUGCACGCCUCUUACUGCCUUCUAGCUUAUACCGAGUUUGUCCUCACUUACUCGUGAGGCUUGGAAUGGAUGAUGGUACUAUUAAUUUUUU
rnacentral:lncRNA from 1 species